CAGACGAUAUUAGGUAAACGAUUAGAACAUUUGCAUAUGAAUGGCAAAUUUUUAACAGCACGCAUUUGGUGUGGCAAGUUCUUUCUUUAAAAGGCUCUCAGUGUUCUGCAAGUUUGCCACAUGAAUGAAAAUCCGCAUGAAGCAGCUUCGGCAUGGCAAGAUACUGCGUGGACAAGGAUCUUUUGUUUCAACUUUUAUGGACAGUUAUAUAUGAAGUGGAAUUGAGAAAAAUGACAGGCAAUCCAUGUGAAGAACGUUUCACGUUCACAUUUUAAACAACCGAGAUCUGAUAUGAAGGUCAUGGAUGACGUCGCGACAACAACACGACUUUUGCUCAUAUGUCUUGCGAUGGUUGGGAGAUUGACUAGUGUCCAGUUCUCCACAUGUCACUCGCUUUGCACAUGCUUGGGAAAUUUCAUGAAAUGUCGUGAAGUUGGUGACCACAAUCUUGCCGUAGUCUUGUCGAAACUUCCAAAGGACAUAACUGAACUAGAACUUCAAAAUGCGGACAAUGGGGAUACUUUUGACGUGCAAAACGAACAAUUGGUGAAUUUUCCAUCACUGAAAGUUUUACGUCUUCGUGGUUGCCGACGUACAAACUUGUCUUUGUUCUUGGAACUUUGAGAAAUCUUAGAUACGUGACUGUGGAAAUUGGUAAAACCUGUGAAAGUUGUAAUUAUACAAAAGCUGUGUCGAGGAGAGAAGCUUGUCCCCAACAACGUUGUGUUUUUGGUGAAAACAGUCUGUUUGACUACUCUUACUGUACCUGUGUGGUGUGUACUCGAAUGGAAAAUUGUACAGAUGGGCUACCAGAACGCGAAAGAUUUCUGGGUGAUAAGACCACGGUUCGCGUUGCAUUGUGGGUUAUAACUUCCUCAGCGUUAAUAUCAAACAUAGCAUUGAUCAUAACUCGCAUUUUCACGCAUUCGUACCGGGAGAAACCGCUUAACAUAUUUAUCUUGGGCUUGGCCUUUCAAAUUUGUUCAUCACCGGAAGUGUGAUGGUUCUUCUCGUUGCUGACAGCCAUCACAUGCAAACGUUCGAUGACAAAAACUGGCCAAUGCCAAUUUGUAGUCCUGUUUACUUGCUAAAACAUUUUGGCAUAUAUUCUUUGGUAAUUGUGUUGAUUUUGAUAAUACUUGAACGUUUUUCAAAGCUUGGAUUUAAGCUUUGUUUUGCUCUACGACUUUCGUUUCGUCGCUCUGUCCUAUACAUGUGCGAGACGUGGGUCCUUUCUUUUUUAUUAAUUAUUCCACCUUGGACGCGGAUUACAUCUUGGCAGAACUUUUGCAUUGCAAACUAUGAUAUGGUAUUUGCCACGUCAAUGUACAUAGCGUGUGGUCUACUGGAGUUGGUUUUCUUUCGUAAUCCUCCUGCAAAUUUGCGUUCUUUUAUGGCGUAGGAUUGCCACAUCUCGUUCAACGACAUGUUUUAUCGACAUUCGAAGCGAUAUCUCUCUGAUUCUUGCAGGCUUUGUGACGUUUUCUAUGCUUGGUGUUCCACACGGUGUUGUUGCAAUCACCCAAAUGACUGAUCAAGAACCUAACACGGAAAUCGUUACCAUUCUUCUUGGUUGUUUAAGCUUUUUCCACUCGUUGAUAUUUUUUAGAUAUUCUCCACUUUAUGUGCACCCAAGCGAUACAUUAUCCACAAAAGACAUGGAUUGCACCUG